rnacentral:rRNA from 1 species
GACGAACGCUGGCGGCGUGCUUAACACAUGCAAGUCGAGCGAGGCCCAUCCUUCGGGGUGGUGCCCUAGCGGCGAACGGGUGAGUAACACGUGGGCAACCUGCCCUCAGCCCUGGGAUAACUCCAAGAAAUUGGUGCUAAUACCGGAUGUGACCGCUGACCGCAUGGUCUGGUGGUGGAAAGAUUCAUCGGCUGAGGAUGGGCCCGCGGCCUAUCAGCUUGNGGUGGGGUGAUGGCCUACCAAGGCGACGACGGGUAGCCGGCCUGAGAGGGUGACCGGCCACACUGGGACUGAGACACGGCCCAGACUCCUACGGGAGGCAGCAGUGGGGAAUAUUGCGCAAUGGGCGGAAGCCUGACGCAGCGACGCCGCGUGAGGGAUG